rnacentral:rRNA from 1 species
GACGAACGCUGGCGGCGUGCUUAACACAUGCAAGUCGAACGGAAAGGCCCUGCUUUUGUGGGGUGCUCGAGUGGCGAACGGGUGAGUAACACGUGAGUAACCUGCCCUUGACUUUGGGAUAUCUUCAGGAAACUGGGGCUCAUACCGCGUAGGAGCUCCUGCUGCAUGGUGGGGGUUGGAAAGUUUCGGCGGUUGGGGAUGGAAUAGCGGCUUAUCAGCUUGUUGGGGGGGUAGUGGCUUACCAAGUCUUUGACGGGUAGGCGGCCUGAGAGGGGGAACGGCCACAUUGGGACUGAGGUACGGCCCAGACGCCUACGGGAGGCAACGGGGGGGAGUAUUACACAAUGGGCCGGAGCCAGAUGCGACAACGCCGCGAGCGGGAAGACGGGCUUCGGGUUGUGAACCGCUGUCGCCUUAGACGGAGCGAUAGUGACGGUAAUGGGUAAAGAAGCACCGGCUAACUACGUG